rnacentral:rRNA from 1 species
GUCGAGAAUCUUUCACAAUGGGGGCAACCCUGAUGGAGCGACGCCGCGUGGAGGAUAAGGUCUUCGGAUUGUAAACUCCUGUCAUGCGUGAACAAGGUUGCUUGGUUAAUACCUGGGCAAAUUGAUGGUAACGCAAGAGGAAGAGACGGCUAACUCUGUGCCAGCAGCCGCGGUAAUACAGAGGUCUCAAGCGUUGUUCGGAAUCACUGGGCGUAAAGGGUGCGUAGGUGGCGUGGUAAGUCAGAUGUGAAAGCCCGGGGCUCAACCGCGGAACUGCAUCCGAUCCGGCCAUGCUAGAGUACUGGAGAGGUGACUAGAAUUCUCGGUGUAGCAGUGAAAUGCGUAGAUAUCGAGAGGAAUACCAAAGGCGUAGGCAGGUCACUGGACAGUUACUGACACUGAGGCACGAAGGCCAGGGGAGCGAACGGGAUUAGAAACCCCGGUAGUCC